GGGGAAGCUAACAUGGCAGUCGACGGAGUGCCUUUGACAGAGGAUUCGUCCAAUGUGUAACGUUACCUAGUGGCGGACGGGUGAGUAACGCGUGAGUAACCUGCCCUGGAGUGGGGAAUAACAGCUGGAAACAGCUGCUAAUACCGCAUAAUGCAGUUGGGUCGCAUGGCUCUGACUGCCAAAGAUUUAUCGCUCUGGAAUGGACUCGCGUCUGAUUACCUAGUUGGUGGGGCAACGGCCCACCAAGGCGACAUAUCAAUACCCGGACUGAGAGGUUGGCCGGCCACAUUGGGACUGACACACGGCCCACACUCCUACGGGAGGCAGCAGUGGGGAAUAUUGGGCAGUGGGCGCAAGCCUGACCCAGCAACGCCGCGUGAAAGAAGAAAGCUUUCGGGUUGUAAACUUCUUUUGUCAGGGAAGAAUCAAGUGACGGUACCUGACGAAUAAGCCACGGCUAACUACGUGCCAGCAGCCGCGGUAAUACGUACGUGGCAAGCGUUAUCCGGAUUUACUGGGUGUAAAGGGCGUGUACGCGGCGAAUCAAGUCAGAUGUGAAAACCACGGGCUCAACCUGUGGCCUGCAUUUGAAACUGUUUUUCUUGAGUGCUGGAGAGGCAAUCUCAAUUCCGUGUGUAGCGGUGAAAUGCGUAUAUAUACAGAGGAACACCAGUGGCGAACGCGGAUUGCUGGACAGUAACUGACGCUGAGGCGCGAAAGCGUGCGGAGCAGACAAGAUUACAUACCCUGCUAGUCCACGCUGUAUACGAUGGAUACUACGGUGUGGCGAGUCUGACCCCCUCCGUGCCGCACUUAACACAAUAUGUAUCCGACCAUGAGAGUACGAUCACAGAGCUGAAACUCAAAUGAAUUGACGGCGGCACGCACAAGCAGUGGAGU
rnacentral:rRNA from 1 species